AGAGAGAGAGAGCGGAGGAGAGAGUGGUGGUGGGGCUGAGAGAGAGAGAGAGAGAGAGAGACUGACGAGAAGAGUAAUAGGAAGAGGAGAAACAGGAUAGAGAGAGAGAUAGAGAGACGCCAUAUUCAUUCAACUGCUCUGUCGAAUAAUUUCUCACACUUUGCCCCUGUUUUCUCUUCCUCUUUCUCUCUUCUCUUUGUGAUUUCUUUUCACGUUUUCCAUAAUUUGUUCCUAAUGAGCCGCUUAGGGUUCAAAUCGGUGGUCUUUCACGGCGACGUGCGUCUUGGGGAACUCGACGCUAUUCCGGCGACAGACCAGAAUUUUCAGUUUCCGAAUAGCGAGAUUAGAAUCCACCGCAUAUCGCCGCCCAGUGAGAGAUGCCCUCCCCUUUCAGUUCUUCAGACAAUUUCUUCAUUUUCUCUCAGGUCUAAGCUACAAUCUUCCUUGCCUGUUGAGCAGCCGCACUUGAUCCAACUUCACUACUCCUGCUUCCAUGAAUUGAAGACGGCAAUUGUGUUGAUUGGGGACGAGGAAAUUCACCUGGUUGCAAUGCCGAGCAAGCAAAAGAACUUUCCGUGCUUUUGGUGUUUUGCAGUGCCCUGCGGCCUAUAUCUAUCCUGUCUAGGAAUGCUAAAUCUCAGGUGUCUUUCAAUUGUUUUUGAUCUAGACGAGACACUUAUUGUGGCAAACACUAUGAAAUCUUUUGAGGAUAGAAUUGAAGCUCUUCGACUUUGGAUUGGGCGAGAGACAGAUCCAUUGCGUAUAUCUGGAAUGUCUGCUGAACUCAAGCGGUACAUGGAUGAUCGGUCGCUGUUGAAACAGUAUAUUGAGCACGAUACAGUAAAUGAUAAUGGAAGGAUUUUCAAGGUGCAGCUGGAGGAGGUUCCUCCACUAAACGGCAACUGCGAGAAAGUAGUUCGUCCUAUAAUUAGAUUGCAGGACAAGAAUAUUGUCCUUACUCGCAUCAACCCAGAGAUUCGUGAUACCAGUGUUCUUGUGAGGUUACGCCCUGCAUGGGAAGAAUUAAGAAGCUAUUUGAUUGCUAGGGGUCGUAAGCGAUUUGAAGUUUAUGUAUGUACGAUGGCUGAAAGAGAUUAUGCAUUAGAAAUGUGGAGGCUUCUUGAUCCAGAAGCUCACCUCAUUGCAACAAAACAGCUUCUUGAUCGUGUUGUUUGUGUUAAAUCAGGUUCUAGGAAAUCUUUGCUGAAUGUCUUCCAAUCCGGUUCAUGUCAUCCAAAGAUGGCCAUGGUUAUUGAUGACCGUUCAAAGGUUUGGGAAGACAAAGACCAACCGCGUGUUCAUGUAGUUCCAGCAUUUACGCCUUACUAUGCUCCUCAAGCAGAGGCAGCAAGUGUGGUCCCUGUUCUUUGUGUGGCAAGGAAUGUUGCAUGCGAUGUCAGGGGUUGUUACUUCAAAGAAUUUGAUGAGAGUUUGUUGCGACGGAUUCUCGAAAUUUCUUAUGAAGAUGAAGUGGCUGAUCUACCUCCUGCUCCUGAUGUGAGCAGCUACUUGAUGUCAGAGGAAGCUGGCUUUGUAUCCAAUGAGAGUGUGAAUGCUCCAAUUUGUGAAGGAAUGAAUGGUGUCGAAGUGGAAAGGAGACUCAAUCAACCGGAUGAUAAGCAUGUAAUAGACAUGGCCAAUAACCCUACUACAAGCCAAACGGAUGUUCGAGCAGAUACUCCUCAGUUUCCGCCGCCUCUUAAUACGAAUGUCAUUGGACCAAAAUCUUUAAGAACCUUACUGCCUUCUCUAAAGCCUGGUUUGCUUGGGGCCCCUAUCAGACGAGAUCUCUCUGCUGAUCAUGACAUGAAGAGAGGACUCCUUGCAAUGAAACCUGGUAUAGAUCUCAGGACACAGAACUUCGGUGAUCCCCCAAUUCUCUCCAGAAUGCCCGGACAAUUACCACCAUGCGGAUUACAGGUUCAAGGAAGUUCAUUAGUGGAUGAUGACUCCAGUAAAGGACCUCAAAAUAGUCGAUCUUCAGGACUCGUUCAAGAAUCUGAUGCUUCAAAAGCUGAUAAACCACGGUCUAGCAACAAUUCACAAGUUUUGGCAGGAGUUGCUAUAUCUCAAAAUCGAGCAACUAGCAAUAACAAAGAAUAUCAAACUGAAGCAGGGAAAGUUACCAUACCUCCGCCCCCUUCUUUGUACAUUGGAGUGCUACAAGAUAUUGGUCGUAGAUGCAGCUCAAAGGUUGAGUUCAAAACUGUUGUCAGUACCAGCAAGGAUUUGCAAUUUUCAGUUGAGGUUUUGUUUACUGGCGAGAAGAUUGGUGUUGGAUUGGGUAAGACAAGGAAAGAUGCUCAACAACAAGCUGCUGAGAAUGCGCUUCACAAUUUGGCAGAUAAGUAUGCUGCACAUAUGAAGCCACUUUUGGGACCCGUGGAUACAGAUCUCGAUAAGCUUUCUAUUGGAGCCGAAAAUGGAUUUUUAUGGGACACCAUUGCUCCUGCAGUUAACGAAUUGCCAAAGGAAGAAGAUGUUUCGCAUAAAGAGAAGAACUCCGAGGUGCGAAUUACUAGUAAUAAUCCAUCAGAUAGAUGAUUUGAUUUUUCUGCUUCAAAAACAUAGGUGAUGCUUGGAUAAAGGGUAUGUAGGAAAGUAAUUUCCAGAUGGGGGGUUACUGCCCCAACCUCCUCCCCCUCUCUACUUCAUCUCAUUGCAUCGAGAUGGAACGAUGACACCGAAACAAUGAAGGCAAAUUGAGCUGCUUCAUGUUUUCCCAAUGCUGCUUCCUCUUAUGCAAGCCUCUGGAAAAUGAUUAAAAGGCUUGUGAUGAACCUGGGAGUGCCAAUUCUGAUUCGGCAAAUCAGCAGCAGCAGCAGCAUGUUCAGAAGCGGCUGAGUUCCCCAAG